GAUGAACGCUGGCGGCGUGCCUAAUACAUGCAAGUCGAGCGAACGGACGAGAAGCUUGCUUCUCUGAUGUUAGCGGCGGACUGGUUAGUAACACGUGGAUAACCUACCUAUAAGACUGGGAUAACUUCGGGAAACCGGAGCUAAUACCGGAUAAUAUUUUGAACCGCAUGGUUCAAAAGUGAAAGACGGUCUUGCUGUCACUUAUAGAUGGAUCCGCGCUGCAUUAGCUAGUUGGUAAGGUAACGGCUUACCAAGGCAACGAUGCAUAGCCGACCUGAGAGGGUGAUCGGCCACACUGGAACUGAGACACGGUCCAGACUCCUACGGGAGGCAGCAGUAGGGAAUCUUCCGCAAUGGGCGAAAGCCUGACGGAGCAACGCCGCGUGAGUGAUGAAGGUCUUCGGAUCGUAAAACUCUGUUAUUAGGGAAGAACAUAUGUGUAAGUAACUGUGCACAUCUUGACGGUACCUAAUCAGAAAGCCACGGCUAACUACGUG
rnacentral:rRNA from 1 species